UUGGUCCUAGUCUGGGUGCAAAC
rnacentral:miRNA from 1 species